rnacentral:lncRNA from 1 species
GGGUCCCUGUCUCGGGGAGUCGGGACUAUUGGGUCACCCCGGGUAGUCGAGACUCUAGACUGAGCUGUCUCGGUCACUCAGGAGGCAGUUGGCAGAGUAUUCGUGGUCAGGGAGGUGACCCGUGGUCAGCAGGGUCAGGCCACCCAGGGACAAAGGGUGCUCCUGCACCGGGCCUUGGAGAAGGACAGAGCGGUGGGGACUUGGGGUCAGCGGGGGAGCCUCCGCGGAUGGGGAGUCACCACCUGCCGGGUAAGAGGGGACUCAUCACAGGGGCCGGAGCAAGACAAGCCCUCCCUCCCGGCUCAGGCCGGGUCCCAGGCUGGACCCCUCCCUGUCUCACAGGGCCGGCCUCCUUCGGAGCUGGCUGGGAUGGAAAGGGGAAGUAGGAGGAGCUCAGGACACAGGGAUUGGGGCCGAUCCUGGGGUCUGAGCUGUGGGGUGAGGAGGGGAUCGCCUGUCCCCUGGGGAGUGACGAUGUCACCCAGCCGUGGCCGUUGCGGAGGUCAUGAUCUGAACCUUGACAGCAAUCAGCCAUGACUGCCUUUGCACUGUCCAUGCUCUCAGCCCACCACCUCCUCCCCCUGCCAUUGCAGUGGCUAACACUGGAGACGAAGACCAAGACACCACAGCCUUUCUCCAGUACCUCUCAAAUCAGCACAGACAAGGACAAAGGCCUCAAUCCACAACUGCUGAAGAUGGACCCUGGCCACAUGGGAUGGUCAGACACGCCUGCCCAGCUAUCUGCAGGCGAAGAGGCUCAGAAGAGGUUUAGGGGCCUGAAGGACAUCUUGCUUCCAUGUCCAUAUGAGCAGGCUAUUUCUGCUCCAUGAGUCAAUUUUGCCAUAUAAAAUACUUAAUUUCAGCCAUUCCAGGGUGCUAUAGGAUGCACAGCUUCCCAUCAGCCCACCUGAACUCCAGCCAUGCCAUUUUAAUACCAGGAAUAAGGUCACCUGCUUUCCUGCCCCUUAGGAGGCCGGAGCCGUGGAAGCAAAAUGGCACUUCUGUUUACCUGUUAUAUUAUUUUUUUGUCAUCCUUAUAUGUUUGAAAAAUGCAAUUAUAUGAAAAAAGUUUAGUAAUUACAGACAUAACAGCAGAAAGUCCUCGGAACCAAGCUUAUUCUCAUGGCCGAUUCUGCUCCACCUGGGACUCUGCUGUGCUGCGGGCAUCCUGUGGUCAGAAUCGCAGAGGGGCCAUCAGGGAGGACCUUCCCAGAGGAUGGACCUCACGUGACUGCUGCGUGGGCAAGUGGCACUGGCCACUCUGCCUGGAGAGAGGAGUAAAUGCAGGGCUGGCCAGGCGACCUGCACACUCUGC